UAAUAUUAUACUCUAACAAUAACUUAGAUAUAUAUAUAUAUAUAUAUAUAUAUAUAAACGUCCAAUUGAAAAAAUGAUAAAAAGCUUCAGCAAUGUUCAAUUAUCACUCACCAUGAAGAUAUGAUGUCACAUAGACCAUUAGCAAAUCCACCAAAAAAACCACCACCAGGUCCAAAGAAACCCGGUCCGCCAGGGCCAGGACCCCAACCCGGACCGCCAGGUCCAGGUCCCCAACCUCCACCAGGACCACCCGGGCCUGGACCCCAACCUCCACCAGGUCCUCCUCCACCAGGACCUCCAGGUCCCAUGUUUAAUUAGCUUGCAAGCACCACAGAGCAGGGGAACCUAGGGAGAAUGAGCUUCAGGGCAGUGAUGAAACCAAGGGCUGUGAAAAUUUGGGAUGAAAAAUGUAUUCCUGUUGCUCUGUAAUGUGUGAUUUGAUAAUCAAAA
rnacentral:lncRNA from 1 species